AGUGACCCCACUCACCAUUCAGUGAUCCCAUCCAUCCCAAUGAUCCCAACCAUCCCAGCGAUCCCAUCCAUCCCAGCGAUCCCACCCAUCCACGUGACCCCACCAAUCAUUCUGACCCCAUGGAUGCCACCAGUAAUCCCACUCACAAUCCCACCCAUAUCACCCAUUGAUUCCCUGACCCCACUGAUGAUCCCAUCCAUCCCACCAAUCCCACUGAUCCCAUGACCCCACCGAUGAUCCCAAUGGUGAUGUCUCCCAUUGAUCCCAUGACCCCACGAUGAUCCCAAUGGUGACGUGUCUCCCAUUGAUCCCAUGACCCCCCCAGCAAUCCAACCCAUCCUACAGAUGGUCCCAUUUAUCCCAGCGAUACCAGCAAUCCCACUGAUCCCACCGAUGAUGCCACCAGUGACCCAUUGGUCCCGUGACCCCACUGAUGAUCCCAUCCAUCCCGCACGUCCCAGCAGUCCCACCAAUGAUCCCAUCCAUCCCAGUGAUCCCACUGAUACCAACUAUGAUCCCAUUUGUGAUCCCACCCGUGUCACCAUCGAUCACAUGACGUCAGUGUUGAUCCCACCCAUCCCACCAAUCCCAGACAUCUCAGUGAUCCCAUCCAUCCCAGCGAUCCCACCGAUCCCAGUGAUCCCACCAAUCCCAGUGAUGAUCCCAUCCAUCCCAGUAUGAUCCCAUCCAUCCCCCCAAUCCCAGU
ensembl:lncRNA